UCAGGAUACUAGAGAGGAUCCUCUCCAGCCUUGGAAGAAGAAUGUUCCAAAGAGAACAGUUCUGGAGGCUGGGAAGUCUAACAGUGAGGAGCUGCAUCUGAUGAGGACCUUCUUGCUGCAUCAUCCCAUGGUGGGAAGGCAGAAAGACACAAGAGCACACACAAGUGAGAAGAAGGCUGAACUCAUCCUUUUAUCAGGAACCCACUCCUGUGAUAAUGACAUUAAUCCAUUCAUGAGGACAGAGCCCUCAUGACCUAAUCACUUCUUAAAGGUCUCACCUCUCAGCACUGUUGCACUGGGGAUUAAGUUUCCAACAUGUGAACUUUGGAGGAUAUAUUCAAGCCAUAGCACCACCAAAGUGAUGUCACUGAAUGCAGAGUUAAGAAGAGAUACACAGGAUUAGCUCUAACAAAAUGAUGUGAGCCAGCCAGAUCUCUGAUAAGAAAUGUAAUCUAUGCAAAAAAGAAGACAAAAUUAAAAGGAUAAUGAACAAUAUCUUCCAAUUGUGAAGGGCUGUCAUAAAAGAGGCCCUGGGAUUCUGAAGGAGGGAACCUGAGACUGUGUCAACCCGAGAGACGGAGAUAUUUCCAAGCCCAGCAGAAAAGGAAGCCUCUCUCCAAGGAUACAAAAUCUAUGGCAGUCCUGACCUGGAAAUCUCGAGGAGGCCUCCCUGCCCCUACUGCCUUUUAGCCUGCCUUGCUUGCCUUGGCCAUUUUAAGUGCAGAUGAAGGCAAUGGAAUUGCAAAGCAAUGGAGGAAGAGGAAAGGAAAGACAGAGACUGUGCCAAUAAAAUAUUACUAUAAAAAUUUAACCGAAAACAAGACUGUCCUGAGAUUUUGCCCUGGUCUUAUAGCAUCUG
rnacentral:lncRNA from 1 species